UUUCUGAAAUUUCCAUGGCUUCGGUCGCCUCGUUGAUCGUGAGACCGGCAAAGUAAUGAAGCUUGACCAGCUGGAUGGUUUGCGGAUCACCCCGGGCAAACUUCUCCAGGGCAUCGUUCAACACAAGAAGGGCCUCAUCGUUGGUAGCCGCCUUGGUUACCUCCAGACGCUCCCAGUUCCAGGCAUCCAUGUCGAUCCGUUGCUGGCCUCCACCAUGGCGAAUCCGUUGCCUUCGUCGUGCCCGAUCCACGAGGAUAUGGCGCAUCGCCUCCGCCACCGCGGCAAAGAACUGUGCCCGGUUGGCCCAAUCCUUUUGCUCGUCCCCGCCUAAUCUCAACCAGGCUUCAUGUACGAGUGCCGUCGCCUGCAGGGU
rnacentral:rRNA from 1 species